rnacentral:rRNA from 1 species
GAUGAACGAUGGCGGCGUGCCUAAUACAUGCAAGUCGAGCGAACAGACGAGGAGCUUGCUCCUCUGACGUUAGCGGCGGACGGGUGAGUAACACGUGGAUAACCUACCUAUAAGACUGGGAUAACUUCGGGAAACCGGAGCUAAUACCGGAUAAUAUAUUGAACCGCAUGGUUCAAUAGUGAAAGACGGUUUUGCUGUCACUUAUAGAUGGAUCCGCGCCGCAUUAGCUAGUUGGUAAGGUAACGGCUUACCAAGGCAACGAUGCGUAGCCGACCUGAGAGGGUGAUCGGCCACACUGGAACUGAGACACGGUCCAGACUCCUACGGGAGGCAGCAGUAGGGAAUCUUCCGCAAUGGGCGAAAGCCUGACGGAGCAACGCCGCGUGAGUGAUGAAGGUCUUCGGAUCGUAAAACUCCGUUAUUAGGGAAGAACAAAUGUGUAAGUAACUAUGCACGUCUUGACGGUACCUAAUCAGAAAGCCACGGCUAACUACGUG